rnacentral:misc_RNA from 1 species
GAACGCAACUUGCGCCCUCUGGUAUUCCGGAGGGCAUGCCUGUUUGAGUGUCGUGAACACCUCAACCCUCUAAUGUUUUUGCAUUGAAGGCGUUGGUAGUGAGCGCUGCCGGUCUUUGGGUCGGCUCGCUUUAAAAUAAUUAGCUGGAUCCAUUCUGACCUGGUUCUACUCGGCGUAAUAAGUUAUUAUCGUCGAGGACGCCUAGCCUUCUAGGCAGGCGGCCACAGUAAGGGUGUUUGAACCGCUUCCAAACACGUCUUGCUCUUGUAGCAAACACUUGAACCUCUGACCUCAAAUCAGGCAGGACUACCCGCUGAACUUA